rnacentral:rRNA from 1 species
CCGCACAAGCGGUGGAGCAUGUGGUUUAAUUCGAUGCAACGCGAAGAACCUUACCUACUCUUGACAUCCAGAGAAGCCAGUGGAGACACAGGUGUGCCUUCGGGAGCUCUGAGACAGGUGCUGCAUGGCUGUCGUCAGCUCGUGUUGUGAAAUGUUGGGUUAAGUCCCGCAACGAGCGCAACCCUUAUCCUUGUUUGCCAGCACGUAAUGGUGGGAACUCCAGGGAGACUGCCGGUGAUAAACCGGAGGAAGGUGGGGACGACGUCAAGUCAUCAUGGCCCUUACGAGUAGGGCUACACACGUGCUACAAUGGCGCAUACAGAGGGCAGCCAACUUGCAAAAGUGAGCGAAUCCCAAAAAGUGCGUCGUAGUCCGGAUUGGAGUCUGCAACUCGACUCCAUGAAGUCGGAAUCGCUAGUAAUCG